rnacentral:misc_RNA from 1 species
GAACGCACCUUGCGCCCUUUGGUAUUCCGAAGGGCAUGCCUGUUUGAGUGUCAUUAAAUUAUCAACCUUGUUCGCUUUUACGAGCUUGAGCGAGGCUUGGAUGUGAGGGCUUGCUGGCUUCCUUCAGUGGAUGGGUCUGCUCCCUUUAAAUGCAUUAGUGGGAUCUCUUGUGGACCGUCACUUGGUGUGAUAAUUAUCUAUGCCAGUUGACUUUGAAGCAAACCUUAUGGGAACCCGCUCAUAACCGUCUCUUACCAGACAAUUUUAUGACAUUUUGACCUCAAAUCAGGUAGGACUACCCGCUGAACUUAAG